rnacentral:SRP_RNA from 1 species
GCCGGGUGUGGUGGCUCACACCUGUAAUCCCAGCACUUUCGGAGGCUGAGGUGGGUGGAUCACCUGAGGUCAGGAGUUUGAGACCAGCCUGGCCAACAUGGUGAAACCCCAUUUCUA